rnacentral:rRNA from 1 species
UACGUAGGGUGCGAGCGUUGUCCGGAAUUAUUGGGCGUAAAGAGCUUGUAGGCGGUCUGUCGCGUCUGCUGUGAAAAAUCCGGGGCUCAACCCCGGACUUGCAGUGGGUACGGGCAGACUAGAGUGUGGUAGGGGAGACUGGAAUUCCUGGUGUAGCGGUGAAAAUGCGCAGAUAUCAGGAGGAACACCGAUGGCGAAGGCAGGUCUCUGGGCCACUACUGACGCUGAGAAGCGAAAGCAUGGGGAGCGAACAGG